UGUGCCAGCAGCCGCGGUAAUACGUAGGGUGCGAGCGUUGUCCGGAAUUACUGGGCGUAAAGGGCUCGUAGGUGGUUUGUCGCGUCGUCUGUGAAAUUCCGGGGCUUAACUCCGGGCGUGCAGGCGAUACGGGCAUAACUUGAGUACUGUAGGGGUAACUGGAAUUCCUGGUGUAGCGGUGAAAUGCGCAGAUAUCAGGAGGAACACCGAUGGCGAAGGCAGGUUACUGGGCAGUUACUGACGCUGAGGAGCGAAAGCAUGGGUAGCGAACAGGAUUAGAUA
rnacentral:rRNA from 1 species